AUGUCCUUGAAGGCCUCCUGCUCAGAUCUUAGCUCACGCAGAGGGCAGAGCUCGGCUCUGACAAUCAGAAGGGGAAGGGUGAGGAGGAGCCGGUGCUGCUUUUUGUUUUUGUUCUCCAUGCAACAGGCAGCCAGGAGGGAAAAAAAAGGAAAAGAAAAAAAAAAAGAAAAAAAAAACAAAAAACGACCAAAACCAGCACAGGGAGCAAUGCAGGGCAAUCACCAAUCCCUCAGAGCCAAGGCUUUCGGGACAAGCCUCAUGCCAUCCCCUCCCCUGGACGCAUUCACAUCUCCUGCUCCAGCACCGGUGGCAAAGGAUCCAUCAGCACGGACAGUGCCGGAGGUUGGAGGGGGAGGUGGCAGGGGGAGCAGAGGGGGAGGAAAAUCCAUUCAUACAUUACUGGAAUCAAUAACCCCCACGUGUCAUUUAAGCUGGCCUUCCCCUAGAGAAGUGCAAGAUGGAAAAGACCUCUUCUGCUUUGCUGAUGAGAGCAGAAGCUGUGUUCGGGCUCAGCCAGAGGAAGGUGCCUAUAAGAGAUUAUUCAGUGGUGACUCCUGAGUCAUGUCUAGAUCAAUGAGUUCAGCAAUUUAUUGAUGCUUCUGGGAUAUAUCUCGUCUGAGCAGUUACGAUAGUCAAUGUUAAUGCAAACACCCCCCGCGCAGUGCAGGGCAGCUGCCUUGGCUGCAUCAGGCAUGCAGGAAGCAUUCGUUUGGGCUGGGGAAGCAUUGCGAGCAGCGGGAGGUCGAAAGGACGUGUGUGAGAAGGAAGGGCUUUAUUUCCAUUUGUGUCAGGCGCUCACCUUGCACAUCCGAAAGGAGACAAGAAGCUGAUCCAGGAGGGGCAGGGAGACAAGGGUCUUCUGAAUUGCAGUCCUCCCCCUAGCACACCAUUUCCCCAAUAGAGUGAGGGAAGUCACUUGACCUCCGUGCCUCCAUUUCAGUGCUGAACUGCAUGAACAUCAGCCCCUCGUUGCUGGAUGCCGUGCCUUGCAGAUGCUGUUUGCUGGUACAAAGCUCCUGCGGCUGCAUUGGUGUCACUUGGACAAACUGCCUGCCAGCACGUGUGCUCUGCAGCGAGCGGGGGGGGAAGGAGACGUGCUCAGGUGGCUCUGCUGCCAUUAAGCUCUGAGCAGAAAGCUCCUUUUGAAUUGAUAGGAGGAAAGGAAAAAGAACAAUUAUUAUAAUGCCAUGCAAUACCACACCUGGGCUGCUUUUUUCCUGACGGUGACCACUAGAAAGCAUCUCUCUUUGCUUCAUUAUUUCCAGUCAGUCUUAAUGAGGAGCCUAUUUAAUGGAAACAGCUGCAAUUGCAGGUACCCAUAAGCUCCUGUGUGCAGCUUGCUUUUCUGUAGUGGUACAUCCAUACCCUGAGCCCCCAGCAGCUGGAAUAAGUGCUGCGAGUAGGCAAGCUGCUGGGAUGCUUGUUGUUAAUCAUGAGGAUGGGAGGAGACCCGUAACAUCAUUGCAGGUAAUGCAAGGAAUCACUGAAUCAUAGAAUCGUAGAAUGGCCACAGUGCUCAUCCAGUUCCAACCUCCUGCUAUGUGCAGGUCACCAACCAGCAGCCCAGGCUGCCCAGAGCCACAUCCAGCCUGGCCUUGAAUGCCUGCAGGGAUGGGGCAUCCACAGCCUCCUUGGGCAACCUGUUCCAGUGCCUCACCACCCUCUGGCUGAAAAACUUCCUCCUAAUAUCCAACCUAAACCUCCCCUGUCUCAGUUUAAAACCAUUCCCCUUGUCCUAUCACCAUCCACCCUCACAAACAGCCGUUCCCCCUUCUGUUUAUACGCUCCCUUCAAGCACUGGAAGGCCACAAUAAGGUCUUCCCACAGCCUUCUCUUCUCCAAGCUAAACAAGCCCAGUUCCUUCAAUCUUUCCUCAUAGGAGAGCUGCUCCAGCCCUCUGAUCAUCUUAGUGGCCCUCCUCUGGUCUUAUUCCAAGAACUCUGUGUUUUUCUUGUACUGGGGGCCCCAGGCCUGGGCGCAGUACUCCAGAUGUGGCCUAAGUUGAGUUAAGGGCUUCCAUGCCUUCUGAAAGCACCAUGUCUCCUCUCCUGAUGGCUAACCACAUCUUGCAACUUUGGAAAAGCCACUCUGUGGGGAUGAAGUCUUGUUUGAUUCACUGAUACCAGUGCCUCAAAAGCCCCGGGAUACUAUGACAUCCAAAUGCAGUGCAGUGUCUGCACGUGUGUGCGUGUUUGCAGGCCUGCAGUUGGACUCACAGCGCCCUUAAAGAACAGAUUACAAACAUGCUAUGCAACGCGUCAGUGCAUUUCCUCUGGCCAGAAAUAGCUGAUGAGUAAUACAAAGCAGCAGAGGUAAUAAAUAUUGAUAAUGUUGAAGUUCUAUGUAACCAUACAAUCACAGAAUGGUUUGGGCUGAAGGAGACCUUACGGACCAUGCAGGUCCAAUGCCCUGCUGUGGGUGGGGAUGUCUUCCGUUAGAACAGUCUGCCUGAAGAUCUUGAAUGAUGUAAGAGACUAAAAAGCAAACACCCCAAAUCCUUCUUCCAUCUGACUGCUGCCAAAAUGUGCGUGAUGACUUUUCCAGACCCUUCUCCGGUCCGCAUCGGGAUCCGUACGAAGGUGUGACUGGCACGGAUGGGCUGAUAGCCAUCAGACAAACAAGGGUUAAACUCUUUCCUGGCAGGCUGGGAGGACGCCGUGUGAUUUCUGAGAGCCCAGAGAGGA
rnacentral:lncRNA from 1 species